GUCACCACUUUCUUUCUUCGUCAUGACGAGACAAAAUAUUUCUCUAAGUUUAGCCAAGACAGGCGUGGGCCGCAACUCAGCAUAUUUUAUCUACAUUUUUAAUAGCAUGUCAAAGGUUUGUGGAAAAAAGGUAGAGGCUUUAUAAAUGAGGCAACGCCGUAAUGUUGACAUAUCGGUGUUGAAAUAUUCAGAGUAGCUUAGCUUCAAAACAAACGCGUUACAAAAUAACUUCAAAAGAAUACGCGUUUAUACUUCAAAUAUAUUUUAUUUUAAAAAUGGAUGUUUGCCGGAAGAAUAUGAUUGUUUUCUUUAUGUUAUUUCUUAUUUGCGGGCCAAUAAUAACAGAUGCAUUGGUGGUUAUAAGCUCUGAAGAAAUGAACUGUUUCAAGAAAAUUCAAAUUUCUGGUCAUGUGUCUCGUCACUGUAGGAAAGUUUUACAUCUCGGACGUUUGCGAAGGAAAAAACACCACAGUCGCUAGCAGUAGGAUGUCUGCUUCAAAAAUUCAACCAGCAAAAGUCUUCAUCGGGACUAAAUAACAAACUUGUUCAAGUGAUUUCAAUUCUGCCAUAAAGAAUUUAUUUAAGCCACCGUGUAGAAGAUUUAUGACGUUGUGGUUAACAUGUUCGACGAAGUGCAAAUAAAAGCUGGCAUGGACCAUAAGGGCGUACGUUCAAAGCAUAUUUAUCACAGCUUGAGCUAUGUAAAGUUCGAAGUCUGUAUGUAGGUUUCUUCUGAAGGCGACUAGAGUUUGAUUCAUCCAUGUAAGGCAAAUCAUGUCGCAGAAGUUAUCCCCAAUUAUUGAUCAAAAUGCAUGGCCCGAUCAACUGAAACUCCCUUCCAAUCAUCAAUAUUUUUACUUCUUGUUUUUAUCAUAUUAUGCGGCAUGUGUAAAAAUUAGUAUACAGUAAUUUUAUCGUGAAAGUAAAAAGUAAUUUUUCUUGUGUAAAAUCUGCAUAAAUGCGAUAUUUUUUAUAGCGAUAUGAGUAUAUUUUUACUUUGUGUUUUUUCAAUAUUCAUUUAUAAAUAUAUCAGAUGUUCAAUAAAUUAUUUAUUCAUGA